CGCGUAGGACCACGAUGGGGCAUCCCAUUGAGGUGAAAGGAGCAAUCCAGUGUGAGGUGAGUUCGCGUCUGAUUAGAUAGUUGGUGAGGUAACGGCCCACCAAGUCAACGAUCAGUAGCCGACCUGAGAGGGUGAUCGGCCACAUUGGGACUGAGACACGGCCCAGACUCCUACGGGAGGCAGCAGUGGGGAAUAUUGGGCAAUGGGCGAAAGCCUGACCCAGCAACGCCGCGUGAAGGAAGAAGGUUUUCGGAUUGUAAACUUCUGUCCUAUGUGAAGAGGAUGAGACGGUAGCAUAGGAGGAAGCCCCGGCUAACUACGUGCCAGCAGCCGCGGUAAUACGUAGGGGGCGAGCGUUGUCCGGAAUGAUUGGGCGUAAAGGGCGCGUAGGCGGCUAGAUAAGUCUGGAGUGAAAGUCCUGUUUUCAAGAUGGGAAUUGCUUUGGAUACUGUUGAGCUUGAGUGCGGGAGAGGUUAUCGGAAUUCCCGGUGUAGCGGUGAAAUGCGUAGAGAUCGGGAGGAACACCAGUGGCGAAGGCGGGUAACUGGACCGCAACUGACGCUGAGGCGCGAAAGUGUGG
rnacentral:rRNA from 1 species